rnacentral:rRNA from 1 species
AUGCGCACGGAGUUUUCCCUCCCCGAGCUAGAUUAUCUUAGCCCCCACCUAUUCGCCUGGCACUGGCUACCUUCUAGUGGGACCACUGGGCACUCGUGUGGCAUCCUUUUAGGUGUGAAGGAUGCCACCUUUGAGGUUGGCGGUAUGGACCGGGGCGAAUUCUUCGUUAGUAUGGAGAUCUUCGAAUGGGUGCUCAACUUAAAAUGGGAGGUCGUCAUUGUCUAUGGACCGGCGGAUCACCGCCGCUCCUCGACGUUCCUCGCUGAGCUCCAACGGAAGGUCUCCACCUCCCCCCUCCCGGUGGUUGUGGGAGGGGAAUUCAACCUCAUCCGCUCUCCGGAUGAGAAGAGUAACAACCGUAUCAACCGCCCCAGGAUGCAGAUGUUCAACGACUGCAUCAAGGAGCUCGGCCUCCGCGAGCUUGAGCGGACUGGCGCCAGAUUUACUUGGACGAACCGCCAAGCCGACCCGACAAAAUCCGUGCUGGAUCGCGUCCUAGUCUCCCCAGAGUGGGAACUCAGGUUCCCCUUGGCUUCACUCCGGGCAAUCACCCGGAUCGGGUCAGACCACGUCCCUCUCCUCCUCUCCACCGCCAACGAAUGCCCCCCCAUCCUGCCGCAUUUUCGGUUUGAGCUUUUCUAG